GGGGCUAUAGCUCAGUUGGUAGAGCGCGUGGUUCGCAAUCACGAGGUCACCGGUUCAAGCCCGGUUAGCUCCA
rnacentral:tRNA from 1 species